rnacentral:rRNA from 1 species
AUUGAACGCUGGCGGCAUGCUUUACACAUGCAAGUCGAACGGUAACAGGCCUUCGGGUGCUGACGAGUGGCGAACGGGUGAGUAAUGCAUCGGAACGUGCCCAGAGGUGGGGGAUAACGCAGCGAAAGCUGUGCUAAUACCGCAUGUGAUCUGAGGAUGAAAGCGGGGGACCAAGCAGCAAUGUUUGGCCUCGCGCCUCUGGAGCGGCCGAUGUCAGAUUAGGUAGUUGGUGGGGUAAAGGCCUACCAAGCCGACGAUCUGUAGCUGGUCUGAGAGGACGACCAGCCACACUGGGACUGAGACACGGCCCAGACUCCUACGGGAGGCAGCAGUGAGGAAUUUUGGACAAUGGGCGCAAGCCUGAUCCAGCAAUGCCGCGUGCGGGAAGAAGGCCUUCGGGUUGUAAACCGCUUUUGUACGGAACGAAAAGGCUCUGGCUAAUACCUGGGGCUGAUGACGGUACCGUAAGAAUAAGCACCGGCUAACUACGUG